rnacentral:rRNA from 1 species
UACAGAGGUCCCAAGCGUUGUUCGGAUUCAUUGGGCGUAAAGGGUGCGUAGGCGGCGCGGUAAGUCGGGUGUGAAAUCUCGGAGCUUAACUCCGAAACUGCAUUCGAUACUGCCGUGCUAGAGGACUGGAGAGGAGACUGGAAUUUACGGUGUAGCGGUGAAAUGCGUAGAUAUCGUAAGGAAGACCAGUGGCGAAGGCGGGUCUCUGGACAGUUCCUGACGCUGAGGCACGAAGGCCAGGGGAGCGAACGGG